rnacentral:lncRNA from 1 species
CGCCACUACCUGCUGCAGCACUCAGCUCUGCAGCACUCUGCACUGCAUCCUCUACUGCAGCAGCACUCCCAUCUUAAUGGAGAUGGCGGGAUGCACUGGAAGGAGAGGGGUGAGCGCAGCGAGACCCCCUCACCCCCCGGCUACCUCCCCCCCCACCUCAUGUUAUCACACAAUAACAAUAAUAACAACAACAAUAAUAACGACCGCGACUCAAAGCCUGUUAUUCAUCCACCUCCUACACCCAACGGCCGCAGCAGCGAGACUCUGAACGGCUACGGUGGACGGGUCAGUGACGACGAGGAGACGGG